AACGAACGCUGGCGGCAGGCUUAACACAUGCAAGUCGAGCGCCCCGCAAGGGGAGCGGCCGACGGGUGAGUAACGCGUGGGAACGUACCUUUUGGUUCGGAACAACUCCGGGAAACUGGAGCUAAUACCGGAUAAGCCCUAACGGGGAAAGAUUUAUCGCCGAAAGAUCGGCCCGCGUCUGAUUAGCUGGUUGGUGAGGUAACGGCUCACCAAGGCGACGAUCAGUAGCUGGUCUGAGAGGAUGAUCAGCCACACUGGGACUGAGACACGGCCCAGACUCCUACGGGAGGCAGCAGUGGGGAAUAUUGGACAAUGGGCGCAAGCCUGAUCCAGCCAGGCCGCGUGAGUGAUGAAGGCCUUAGGGUUGUAAAGCUCUUUUGUCCGGGAAGAUAAUGACUGUACCGGAAGAAUAAGCCCCGGCUAACUUCGUG
rnacentral:rRNA from 1 species